AUUGAACGCUGGCGGCAGGCCUAACACAUGCAAGUCGAGCGGAUGAAGGGAGCUUGCUCCUGGAUUCAGCGGCGGACGGGUGAGUAAUGCCUAGGAAUCUGCCUGGUAGUGGGGGAUAACGUCCGGAAACGGGCGCUAAUACCGCAUACGUCCUGAGGGAGAAAGUGGGUGAUCUUCGGACCUCACGCUAUCAGAUGAGCCUAGGUCGGAUUAGCUAGUUGGUGGGGUAAAGGCCUACCAAGGGGACGAUCCGUAACUGGUCUGAGAGGAUGAUCAGUCACACUGGAACUGAGACACGGUCCAGACUCCUACGGGAGGCAGCAGAGGGGAAUAUGGGGCAAUGGGCGAAAGCAUGAUCCAGCCAUGGCGAGUGUGUGGAGAAGGUCUUCGGAUUGUAAAGCACUUUAAGUUGGGAGGAAGGGCAGUAAGUUAAUACCUUGCGGUUUUGACGUUACCAACAGAAUAAGCACCGGCUAACUACGUG
rnacentral:rRNA from 1 species